CGUGUGUGAAGAAGGCCUUCGGGUUGUAAAGCACUUUCAGUCGUGAGGAAGGUAGUGUAGUUAAUAGCUGCAUUAUUUGACGUUAGCGACAGAAGAAGCACCGGCUAACUCCGUGCCAGCAGCCGCGGUAAUACGGAGGGUGCGAGCGUUAAUCGGAAUUACUGGGCGUAAAGCGCAUGCAGGUGGUUUGUUAAGUCAGAUGUGAAAGCCCGGGGCUCAACCUCGGAAUUGCAUUUGAAACUGGCAGACUAGAGUACUGUAGAGGGGGGUAGAAUUUCAGGUGUAGCGGUGAAAUGCGUAGAGAUCUGAAGGAAUACCGGUGGCGAAGGCGGCCCCCUGGACAGAUACUGACACUCAGAUGCGAAAGCGUGGGGAGCAAACAGGAUUAGAUACCCUGGUAGUCCACGCCGUAAACGAUGUCUACUUGGAGGUUGUGGCCUUGAGCCGUGGCUUUCGGAGCUAACGCGUUAAGUAGACCGCCUGGGGAGUACGGUCGCAAGAUUAAAACUCAAAUGAAUUGACGGGGGCCCGCACAAGCGGUGGAGCAUGUGGUUUAAUUCGAUGCAACGCGAAGAACCUUACCUACUCUUGACAUCCAGAGAACUUUCCAGAGAUGGAUUGGUGCCUUCGGGAACUCUGAGACAGGUGCUGCAUGGCUGUCGUCAGCUCGUGUUGUGAAAUGUUUGGGUUAAGUCCCGCAACGAGCGCAACCCUUAUCCUUGUUUGCCAGCGAGUAAUGUCGGGAACUCCAGGGAGACUGCCGGUGAUAAACCGGAGGAAGGUGGGGACGACGUCAAGUCAUCAUGGCCCUUACGAG
rnacentral:rRNA from 1 species